GCUAGGCAAUUUCCUUUUGCUUUCCUCUAAUUUCCUGGAAUUUGUUUUCCCUAGGAAAUAUGAUUUGUUUAUGUAUAUUUCUAGAAUAUUUUAUUGUUUAUGUAUAUUUUUCAUCUUCACUGAAAGCAUGACAAUUUUGCUUCAAGACUUCACACCUUUCCUUAGUCCAUGAAUCUGAGCUUUCCUAUACUGACUGAUUAGUUUAUACAUCUACUAUAUCAGAUAAUUGCUGUGAUGUGUUUGGUUUAAAUAUCUUCUAUACAAUUUAUUUUUAAGGGCUUAUGUGCACUAUGCACAUUGCAAGACACAGUUCCAAUCCUCUCAGCUUCCUAGUUAAUUAUUCUGAUUAGAAAAUGAUUGUAAUUCAUCCUUGAGGUAGGAUUACCGAUCAAAAAAAUUCUAAAAAAAAAAUCAUCCUUGAGAUAGGAGGCCAAAUAGCUUUACUAAUGUCUAUUUGUUAUUUGGAAACUAUGAUAAUUCAAUCAAAUAUUGAUUCUUGUUGUCAUUUGAUUGAGUAAACUUGAAAAGAGGAACAAUUUCAACUACAAUCUUUGUGGUCAUAAUCUCAAAGUGGACCUAGUCCUCCACACAGAGGGUAUGCUUUGCAAUGAAGUUAGUACCUUCCCAUACUCUACUUCUAAAGAUGAAGAUUCUCUUUAGAAAUCAUUGUUAAAAAUAGUUUUUCUGUUUUUAAAUAGAAAAUAGUUUCCCAACUUACAAAACAUUUUUUACUAUUUUUUGAUUGAAAACAGUUUUUGAGAAUUUGUUCUGAAAACGAAUUAUUUUUUGGAACAAAUUUGAGGUGUUUUUUUAAGAGUGUUUGAGAAAUAAUUGAAAAUAUGGCAUGUAUCAUUUUCUUUUGAGAAUACCAUAUGCUUGCACACUGUGUAUUAUUCAUUAGAGGGAUGAAUAUCUUAUCUCCUCUGUUUUGGGUUUUAUCCAUUUAAAUCAAUUAUGGUUGUAGAGAUUCAUUUACCGUGUUCAGAUAAUUUUAGUUUUUAGCAUGAAAGCCAACUUUUAUGAUCAAGAGCAUUAGUAUUUCUAACUAGAAAUUCUUCCUAGCCUCUUUUCGUUAGUGCAAUGAAAUUUUCAAUUGUUAUUUUUUGUUUUGUUUUCUUCUCUUUUUCAGAAUUCCAAAUAUUCUUGUUGCAAGUAUUGGAACUAUUCUUAUAAAAAUCAUAGUGCCUUGUCCCCAUGGUUAACAUGUUUGUGAGACUUUUUUUUCUUUAGCAUCAACUUUAAGGUUAUUUUGUGCUUUGAUUAUGUUUAAUAUAUUGUUUGCAGUUGAAAGGAUCUCAGAAGAAGUAACUGAAAAAAAAAGAAUGGAUGAUGGGAGGAGGGGGGAUGUUAUGCCAUUAGAGCUUGCAAUGAAGAGAGAGUCUGCAUAUCGAAAGAAGGUAGAGAUGAUGUUGUCGCAACUAUAUGGUGGUGAAUCUAGGGAAGACCCUUUCUCUUCCCAGGUGCCAUCUUCAAGUCCAAGUUCAGGGCCAAGCUUAUCAGGACCAAAGCGAAAAACACCGACUAGGACCUCCCAGUGCCUUCCACCUCAGCAGCUGCAACUGCUUUAUAGUAGUCACACACUUGGAAACAGGAAAGAUGACUUAUUUUGCAAGGUCUGCCAAGUGGCAUGCCCAAGCUCUUUUCAUCUCAAGCAGCAUCUGAUAGGUCAGAAGCACAAGGACACACUUGACUUGAAAUCUGGUAGAAACAUUAGAGAAGAGGAUGCAAAUACCAGAAAAUGGUGUGACUUGUGCAAAAUUUGGUGCAUUAACAAAUAUUCACUCGAACAGCAUUUCAAAGGUAAAAAGCAUCAAGACAACGUACAAGAGCUGGAACUAGGUGGGAAAGAAGGCCAAAGGAAAACAAAUCAGGUAAAACUGUACUGCGAACUGUGUAAACUUUGGUGCAUGGAUGAGUAUGCAUUCAAUCAGCACCUCAAAGGCAAAAAGCACAUCCUUAACCUCCACACCUUUGAAGAGAAAAGGACGGCAAAAGGGAAAGGAUUGGCUGUGGACCAAAGCUCAACUAGAAAGAACUGAAGUAGGAGAUCAUCUAUUGAAGUGUAGAGAGUAGUUUAACCGGUUCAUACUCCUUGUUUUGAAGCUAAUGUUUUGUCACACAGAAGGUAGGAUUUAUUGUUCAGCCAUGUUUUUCUCUGAUGCAAGUUAAAACUCUUAGGUUUCAGUCUUCAAUGUAAAAUUCUUGUUAUAGAACCAGAUGAUAGAAUAAAUAUGGACCUGCAUUAUAUUAACAAUUAUUCAGGAUUUAGCUAUCCAUAUAUAUACGAUUUCUAUUUGAUCGAGAGUAUGGGCCACCUAUGUGUAGAGCUCAUCGCCAUUACGGGCCUUAAAUGAUGGACCUAAGACUCGUGAGGCCCAAUAGCCAAAGGGUAUGGUCCCUAAGGCAGGAGGGUAUAAAUCCAAAGGCUAAGUGUUUGUUCAUUUGAUCACAUCAUUUGAAAUAAGAAUAGACCUGUUUCACUCCCGCUCCCAUCGUCAGAGAGAAUUCAGUAAGAGGUGGUGCCCUCCAUAGCCUUAGAAGAUCCAUACCUUAUUCAAAACGAAAAGCAAAAAUGGACUCAGGUUCGUUCAUUCCCUAUCCAGAGAUCAAAGAUCAAAGGAAUGUUUUGAAUGAUUGAUAUACAUAUAUCCUGUUUUUGUGUCUGCAUGGCUCAAGCAUGAUAUCUUGAUUGAGUUUGAGGGGCCGAGAAGAAUCGAUCCUGUCCCACCAGGUCUGCUCUUUACAUAGCAAGGCAUAUAUAUCCCCAUUGCUCAUGACUGAACACAGGCUUGAUUUGAGAAUGCUAAAUAUGUUUUCCAUCCAUCUGAAAUAUGGACCCAGUACAGGAAAUGCAUGAACCAACCUGCUAAAGCUGAAACAAGCAUCUUUCAGAACUCAGAAAGAAAAACACAAAUAAUGAGGAUGUGUUCAGUGAACGUGUUAGAUUAUGAAAAGGGUGCCCACCUGCCCAUCCUCCAUGUUUUCUAAAAGUGUCGCAAAAGAAAACAAAUCAAUGACAGACCCAUGUUAUUUCUCUUAUUUUAAGCAUCUUCCUUUAUUUUUCCAUAGCCAUUGACAUUGCUGCAAAAAGUUGUUUCACCAUAUUCUUUUCUUAAGGGCGAGUACAUUAAAGGCCUCAGCUGAUUGGAUAAGAUUUGGGAUUCAUGAUGAUACUGUUGCUUAAUUGAGCUGAUAUUUUUUGUUGUCCUGCAGUGGCUCCAAUUUGAGCAACUAAAGCUAAACCAACUAAUAUAGGUGGGGUUCACCCACACCUGCCCGAGAAUCUAAUAAUUAACCCAAUUUCAUGGGUUAUUUGAUCAACAGGGAUGAUAAUUCCCUGUUUGGAAAAAUAACCAUCAUUUUCUUGAUGCCCAUUUGACAUGAAAUCACAUUUUUUUUUUCAGAAAAAAAAAAGAGAUUAUAAUUACAAUUUUUAAGAAGUGAGAGGUAGUGGGAAUUACUCAGUUUUUGGCACAGAUAUUUCCAUUGAAUGAGUGUUGGAAUUGGCUAUUCAUCUUGAACUGAUCCCACGUCUUUAAUAGCAUUAAGUGCUUUUGGUUAAAGCAGUUGGACUGGACUGGCAAUGAACAGGAGUACCCCAGAAGUCAAAACAUCUUUCUUAGAAGCUACAAGUUUCCACAUCACGUUCAGAAGCAGAACAGAAUGGGCAUGACCAUCAGGAAGAAAUAAUUAAAAGAUAAAUGGACGGUGGGAGGGGGGAAGUUAUGCCAUUGGAGCUUGCCAUGAAAAGGGAGCUGGCAUAUCGGAAGAAAGUAGACAGGUUACUGUUGCAAUUACAUGGUGGAGUCUCCAGGGAAAACCCGGUGCCAUCUUCAAGUCCAAGGCCAAGUUCAGGCUCAAAAUUUUCAGGAAUAAAGAGAAAAGCACCAACUAGCAGCUUCAAUUGCCAACCACGUCAAAUGCUGCAACCCGUUGAUCAUAGUAACACACUUAAGACACAAAGGGAUGACUUAUUUUGCAAAGUCUGUCAAGUCCCCUGCUCAGGUGCCAAUAGUCUCAAGCAACACUUACUAGGUCAAAAGCACAAGGAUAGACUACAAAACUUGACACCUAGUAUGGGCAUUGGAGAAGAGGGAGCAAAACAACGAUUAUGGUGCGAAUUGUGUAAAAUUUGGUGCAUGAAUAAAAACUCAUUCAAAGAUCACUUAAAAGGUAAGAAGCACCAGUCCAGAGCACAAGCUGUGGAACUACAUGGGACAGAUGGUGGAGAAAUAGCGAACCAGAUGAAUAAGUACUGCAAAGUGUGUAAAAUUUGGUGCAUGGACGCAUUCAAUCAGCAUCUUGAAAGCAAAAGGCAUAUCCUUAACCUUCAUGCUGCCAAGGGAAAAAAGAUGGUGUUGGAGGACAAUUAGGCUGCAUUGCCAAAGCCAAACUGGAAAGAAAGUAGGAGAUUAUCUAGCGAAGUGUAAGAUUAUUAACAAGGAAACUAACUUAAUUGAUGUGUUUGAUAAACUCUUUUGUUUUGGAAGUGAAUGUUAGAGAAGAAGGCUGGAUUUUUUGUUUAGAACCGUUUUUCUUAUAUUCAUGUACCAGUUGAUUUGGGAGUUGCAACAGAUAGAUUUUGCAUUUCAAUAUGAAAUUGUUGCUGUAAAACAAGUUGCUGCAGGGCCCUAGGAAUACUGCUUAAAUGAAUUUUCUGGGACAAGAAGAUUCAGCACUACUGGGUCAGCUCUUUAGGAAUUGAGGCAUAAGCACAUGGGAAAUGGGAUCUGCCCAUUUCUCAUGGCUGAACACAGCCCUUAUUUCAAAAUGCUAAACACAUUUUUCAUCCAUCCAAAAUAUGGCCCCAAUGCAGAAAAUGUGAUGCAUGAACCAACCUGCUGAUACAGCCAGCUGUAUGGACCAUCUUGUUAUGUACUGAUCUCUAAUCCUGGAUAGAAGAUCAUAAUGAGGACUUGUACCUAGCAAUGAUAUGGGCUACUCAGGAGCAGCUAUGACAAUCUUACUUUCAAAUGGAUUCAUAUCUUUAGUAAACCAUGUAAAUGCUUCGAAUCAACAGCCUUUUGCCAAUCAGUAGGUUCCUAAUUUUUCAACUGGAAAAACCAACUGAGAGAGAAGGUCAAACAAUGGUGUGUUUGCUUCCAGAGGUGCUGACCGACAACGCGUAGU